GUCUAGCGGAGCGGGUACUUCUGCGGGUCUCAGGUGCGAGCCUGCGUGCACUCCGGUGUUCCGGGUCCUGGCGGGGUUGGGCGCGCGGUGGGCUUCGGGCGUGGGAAGCGCGGGCAGCUGGUGGGUGUGGCGGCUCGGGCGCUGCUGGCAGCUGGCCCCUACAAGACUCGGACCCGGACCCACCGGAGCGCCUGGUGUUGCCGCUGUGCGGUCCUGAGGCUGUGUGCACCGCAGGGGGAGGAGGACACUAGAGAGGGAAGGUGGCCCCAGCCCAGCCCACGCAGACCUCCCGGGUUGGGGGCACUUGUUCCCCUCGGCCUACGGAUCUUGGAUCAUGGGACAUUUGAACGGAAGAAAAUGAAACCCAAGGAAAGGAUUCAUGGUCUAGCAAG
rnacentral:lncRNA from 1 species